GUGUGUUAAUGAUCUAAUAAUAUUUAGUCAAUUGCAUACUUAUUAUGCAGUGAGAAAAAGGACUUCAUGAGGUUUGAGCACCACUGUUUAUAAUCUAAAUCUUCUCUGCAUACUUUGGGGGACUGUCAGAAGAUACACCUGGACUGUGGUUUGGGAAAGUUCUUGACAGAGAUGGUGAUAAAUAGGGAAAGCUGAACACACAUCUCCUCGUGUCUACCUGCCUCAUGUUUACCAUUUCUACCCAGAGGAUGGGACAGCUCUAUAUCCCCUCUGCAGUAACCUAGAAAAUAAGACAUAGUGUGACAGUCCUGAAAGGCCCCAAUGUUCGCAUUCUUUCGUAGUCCUUUUAUCAUAACAAAGGAAAUGCAAUUGGAUGAAUUCCACCUUGGGGCUGCAUAAGAGGGUACACAGAAUAUUCCCAUUCAAAGCAAGAUGGUAACUUUUUUGUAAAAAAAGUGCCUGUGCUGUGUAAGGUGGCAGAUAAUGGCCCAUCUGUGCAGAGGAGCACUGGUUACAUUGUAAACUAGUGACAGUGCAUCUCCGUGAGCCCUGUCUGCUCUUUGUGUUCCUGCUGGGGCUCAGAGGACGGAGGAAAACCACAUUUCCUCUUCUCACUCUUGAUUUUACAGGUGGUAAAUGUCACUGGCAACCAGGACAUCUGUUACUACAACUUCCUCUGUGCUCACCCCUUGGGCGUCCUGAGUGCCUUCAACAACAUUCUCAGCAAUCUGGG
rnacentral:lncRNA from 1 species